AACAACCCAGCUGAGAUGUACAAUGUACACUAUCUCCAUUUCUACUUCGUAAGAUACUUAAUGGGUGCCCUGUCCACAAAAAUUCUUCGACCAUUUGCUAGAGACUCGUACUUCCAGGCAGGUCCUAUAAACCAUGAUGUGGCAAUUCCACCAAGCAAGCCCCCUAACUGAAAUUAUAAUAAAAGAAAAAUACCAACUUUCUGAAAUAACAUGCCUUCACAUUAAAAUCCGUUUUGGACUCUUAACCAAAACCAAGAAAAAAACUCAAGUUUAGGGGAGAAUUUAUACAUGCACAUCCAUCCUUUCCCCCAUCUCUCUCCAAAUCAAUUUCACAGACCCUCCUUGGUUGUAAAUUCCGAUCUUAAAAUGCAAAAUUGAAAAUCCCUUGAAGUUCUCACUAAAAGCUUUAUUAUCUUCUAUACUCAUCCGUGGAUUUAGAUACGAAAUCGUAGGAAAAAAACGAUAAGAAAGAAAGCACACAUGUGAUACUUACAUGUCCCCAAUUGUCAAUGCCCCUGGACAAUACACCAAUAACCUGCAUGAAAGAGGAUCAUUACCACUUAUUAGAACUGCUUCAAGCAUUUCUAGAUGACUAGAUUAUACAUAGAAAAUUCGUAAAUGAAACAAAGGAUGAAUCACUGGUCAAAGCCAAGAAGGUGGCAGGCCUGGCAUCUCACUUCUAGUUUCCUGAUGUUAAAGUGAAACAUUAGAGGUUCUUCUCAAAGGGAGCAACCUCUAGACUCAAGAAAUCAACAUUGCAUUGCAGAUUUCAAGAACCAUUUCUGUAUGUUCCAAGUGUAAAAUACAUGGUGUUCCUUUUGAGCAUCUGCAAUACAAUGUUAAGCUAUAGUUGUAAUGGAGAAACUAGUGUCAUAUAAUAGAUUUGUAGAGAUAGAAUACAUUUUCAAAUGAAAUUUAUCUUGGAGAUUUCGUGUUCUGAUUUCUUGAUAAAAAUAGAGGAAAAACGCUGAAGGAUGCAUUUAAAUACUGAUGUAGAGUGGUUAAAAAUUAGAAAUUAAAUAAUCCAAGAGGGGGAAUUUAAUUUCAAUAUUAAUAAGAUUGCCAAUUAUGUAAUACAUUACAUCUUAGAACAAUCAUCUCAAAAUUCAAAAAUUUACCGUAUAACUUUUACCAUACUCUUAGCUACACUGGUAAUCUUUCUGAUUUACAAUCAACAAUAGUUAAGAUACUGCAAUGAAAUAAACAACCCAGCUGAGAUGUACAAUGUACACUAUCUCCAUUUCUACUUCGUAAGAUACUUAAUGGGUGCCCUGUCCACAAAAAUUCUUCGACCAUUUGCUAGAGACUCGUACUUCCAGGCAGGUCCUAUAAACCAUGAUGUGGCAAUUCCACCAAGCAAGCCCCCUAACUGAAAUUAUAAUAAAAGAAAAAUACCAACUUUCUGAAAUAACAUGCCUUCACAUUAAAAUCCGUUUUGGACUCUUAACCAAAACCAAGAAAAAAACUCAAGUUUAGGGGAGAAUUUAUACAUGCACAUCCAUCCUUUCCCCCAUCUCUCUCCAAAUCAAUUUCACAGACCCUCCUUGGUUGUAAAUUCCGAUCUUAAAAUGCAAAAUUGAAAAUCCCUUGAAGUUCUCACUAAAAGCUUUAUUAUCUUCUAUACUCAUCCGUGGAUUUAGAUACGAAAUCGUAGGAAAAAAACGAUAAGAAAGAAAGCACACAUGUGAUACUUAC
rnacentral:lncRNA from 1 species